AGAGCUUGAGCUCCCAAAGACUGCCUUCCUGGGCUGCUGCCCCCAAACGCACCAGCUGAGCUGGGGAAGGAGGCUCGGGCUGUGCUGCAGCUGCGUGGUGGAAGUCACAGCCUGCAAACAGCAUCCCUCUGCUUCUCCGGGCUUGCAAAUACAACUGGCUGCAACCAUACCCCUAGAGAUCACCUGCUGCCUCUUGCCUGGUCCACUGCAGUGUGGGUGCACUGGUGGGGCUAUUUGUACCGGCUAAUUUUAAGCCUCCAGUUUUUCUGCCUAAAUUAGAUGUCUAGACUCCUGAUAUAUUCAAAGGUGAGAGGCAGGUUGCUAAUUACAGCACCCUGAAUCCCACCCUAAAAGAUCUCUUGUCUGUAUAGGGAGCCUGGGCACCUUAAGUAGGUGCUUAAAAGGGGUAUGAAUAUUCCCUAUUGUACGCCAGGUCUGGUACUGCUACUGCAAACAAAUAAAGAACCUCCUUGCCUUGCGUAAAUCAAAUGCCUGAACUGCACUCUUAAAGGAGAAGUGUUCGUAGUAGGAGCGUGGAAAUUAACUGGAGAGUCCAUUUAUUUUUGGCCAGUCUCCUGGGAGCACCUGCCAAGCACUGCCUCUCAUUUCAAGCCUGACUGUUCCUGCUGAGAAAGUCUGAUGAAGCUCCGAGUCUGGGUCAAGGUGAGGGGAGGACGGGUGGGAAGAAACGUGAUCUGCCCGGAGUUCAGCGCUGCGAACUGAUGGAGCGACCUCAGAGAGGCUGCAGAAAAAGACAGCGCUCACCAUCGCUGCUCUGGGAGACAGUGGGGGACCCCAAAACACCACCCACUUGCAGAACAACACCAUCCUGGAUUCACGUCGUCUCUCCAUGGCCUGGGUCCGUGCUUGGCCCUCUCUGCUGGUUGCACGAAGACUAUAAAGUGGUAUGUGUCGUUUGGCAUGUCUCUGCCUGUUGUGGCUCCUCGGGAAAGCUGAGCACUGUGAGCCUACUGCCUUCCAGAUGCAACGUCUACCAUCCCCACUCCUCCCGUCGAGCCAGCGCUGUCCCUGGUGGGAGUGUUUGCUACAUCAAAGCCCCGGUUUGUACUGCAAGCGGAUGAUUUCUCUGGUAUAUUUACACUUGAAUAUGGAAGGACAUGCAUUUCACAGCAGCCAAGGCUGCCAGUGCUUCACAGUGCUGUUUUAGAAGUAUGGAGUGUGGGAAGAUAUCAGUAAAUGACAAAAAGAUCCUUUUAACAGGGGCAAAAGAGAAUCUUUUCCCUCAAACACAUUCUUGGGAAAGACUCGAGCCAUUUCAGCUGAAAUGAAAAAGUUUAGCCUGAGGGCAAACCCAGCUGAAGAAAUUUUCAGCCUAAACAAUUAAUUAUAGAUGAGCAACCAAAACCAGAGUUAUACAAUAGUCAGCUGUAAUUAUAGUGGUGCUUUUAACUCUGCCUAUAGCAGAGGCAUGUAUGUCAAUGUAAAUUCUUGGGCUGGUCUCGGGAAGAGCCUUGUGGAGCUGUUUAUGAACCCCAGCUUUCUGAUCUGAGGGGAUGGGAGCAAGCAUUCGGCAUCAGAAAUAGUCGGCUUUUGAAAGAUGAAUUAACUGGUGACUUUCAAAGCUGUGUCUUGUCUGUACUCAGCAUUUACCUAGGGUCACUUUAACCAUGAUAUGUUUCUGCUCUACAUGGGAGGAAGGGCGUAAUGAAGAGGGAGCCUCCUAUGACGGAGAACAGCUCAGUCAUGAGAAAGCUGGGUUGGCAGAGAUGAAUGGGGCAGCAUCCUGUCUGCAACACCACCAUCUGAGCAAGCCUUUCCCAGGAAACUGGUCGAAAUGUAUCUUGCCAAAAUACCACUUAAGUGACACCUGGAGGUGAGCUGGAACAGCAUACAGUUAUGUCAGAAAUACCCUCCCUUCCUCCUGGCUUUCCCUGCAGGUACAGAGCUUAGCAUGCUUCAGUCCCCCACAGAUUCAAGUGAAGUCUAAAUCAAUGUUGGUUCAAAGGAAUCGGCGCGAGGAGAUCCCAGAUCUGGAGUGGACGUUCUCCAACAGCAGCAGAGCCUCGGUGCCAGUACAGGAGUGUGUGCACAAAGAGCUCUCAGCCAGAGCAGGCCCAGAAUCUGUUUUGCUUUCUCACACUUGGAGCUGGUAUAUUUUAAAGGAUAUCAAGCGGCAAAUGUGGCAAAGGGGAAAAAUUGCUACAGACUGUAUCUGGCAGAAAACCAGCAAAGAUAAAAUACCAUACGUUCUGUGCAAUGAGCUCCUACAUAAAUGAUUCAUUCACUGGAAUACAGCUGGGGUCAAACACCUUCUAUUUGAAUAGCCAAAAGUUAUGCAAAUAUUUUAUGUGGAUUUUUCUCAAGAAAAGAAAGGAAAAAAGGACAAUAUAUCCUAUUCCAGUUUAAAAAUAAAAUAAAAGCUGUUUAUCUAUGUAACUUUUAAAAAUCAAAAUCCCACAAGAACAGUGUCACUGUGCUAUACACAUAUAUUCAGCAGCUUAAUAGAUGGAAAAUGACAAGAUAUGCCCUAGAGAUGCAAACUCUGAAAAGAUUGCUUGUUUUCCUCUGUAUUGCCAGCCAAGUCUGUUCUACAAAUUGCGUGUAGUGGAGAUCAGACUAUUUCAAAAUAUCAAAUUGCUAAUUAAAGAAACUACUCAACGAAACUUUCCAGUAGAACAAUAUAUGCAGCGGGAUAAUAGUAGUCACUAUUUCUUUAAUGAGUUUCUUUCCUAACCAGAAUUUCUUGCAAUACAUUCAGUGCAGCCAUUCAGUUAGAUUAUUAUGAAUCACAUGUGUAUUAUUUCUGAUUUGGCAUUAACAUAAAAACUUCUGAUGAACCAUAGUAUUACAAAAACAGGUUUAGUGUAUAGAAUGGCAAUAUCAUUCCUGCAGAUAAAAGCUUGGAAAUGAAGGUCCUUAUACAGCAAUACAAUUUAAUGUUUUAGUUUCUGGGUCUAAUUUGCAAAGGUGCUGAGAAAUUAUAGGUCCAACCAAAGCCAAGAAGACCAGAGUGUCUCUGGAUGGACAGCCAUUCUUCUUAUUCCCCUGAAGUAAAGAAUGCAAGCAACCAUCUAAAGCAAAGAGUGCAAGAGCUUCCUAAUCAUAAAGCUCCCUUCACUCCAGUGCCAGCUCCCUCAUUCUCAUCCAGUAAAUGUUUUGUCUGCGCUGUAAAAACCUGCGGUCCUGUGGAAAUGCUGCACAUAAAGGGCUUACAACCACACAUGGCUACCCAGCUGGAGAAGGAGAAUGUGGCACUGAUAGCCCAUCCUGCUGCAGUCACAGAAAGGUGUUUGACAGAGGUUUGUUAUUCAUUGACCAAAGUACUGAUGUGACAAAUAAUGGGGGGCUGAGAGCUUCAAACAUACAAGUCCCCAGAGUCCUAAAUUAACUGGGUUAUAGAGGAAAGAACUUGUAGAAGAUAGUGCUCUAAUAGAUAUAUGGUUACUUUUUCUUCAACUUUUUUUUUUUUUAUGAGUUCUGUGGCUGGUGGACAGGAAUCUGUUAGGUAUCAUUUUCUAGGAACCCUGCUUUUAUUACCUUAUAUCAUUUAUUUUCUCAUAAUGUUUGAGAUUCUGCAAAGCCUUCCCAUCAUGUGUAGAUGCAGUGGUGCUCCUUGCUUGUGGGGCAGCAGCUCAAGGAUUCCCAGCCCUGCUGGAGAAGGGACAGAACCAAGCAAUAGCUGUUACCCCACAGCUUCAUCAGCUCCUGAGUAGCUUCAUUCAGCACUGCUGAAGUCAAUGGGAGAGGGGCCAGUGUCUUCAAAGCAACUUCACUUGAAUCAUUCCUGAGCAGACUUUAAGUUAAUUGAUCCUAUUUGCAAAUGUGAAAAGGAGGAAAUAACAUGAAACUGGCAGGCAUGCCACUCCUGUUGAGGUGGCAUAUAGAAGAAGCCCUUUCAAAACAGCCCUCGAGUAUUUAAAGAGUAUUGUGCCUGAUUCUUAAGUCAUGCAUGCAGCUUGCUUUGUAUGCUUUAAUGAAGUUGCUCCUGAUUUGCUCUGGGCUGUGAUUACGUGGGAGGAAGAUGAAACUUAUUGAUUCUCUGAAGAUUUAAAACCCAAGCUGGGGGAGGGCAAGGUGCAGUGAAUUUUCAGCACUGACCGGCCAUCUGUGCAAGCACCAGCUAUUUCCUAACCAACAGGUCGAGUCCACAUCCCUCAAAUACAUUCUGCCGAGCCUGUCUGCUGUUGCUGACAACACUGGGUCCUCUCACAGCAGCACCCGUAGCCACAGCUCUGCCAUUUUAAAGACUUUCGGGAUUAGGCCAGGGCUCCUGCACAGCUGCGAUGUCUUGCCCCUAUUUUACAUCCACUGAAAGAUUUUUGAAUGGACUUCAGAAGCCAUUAGGAACCCAAAUGUCGACUUGCACUUGCAAAAUGUCUCUGGUUAAUGUUUUCCUACUGACGCUCUGCUUUGCUCCCCGCCUGCCAGAGUUUCCUGUGACCUAUUUGAAAUAUCACUCUCCUAAGUGAAAAUGUGCCUCUCUUUUUCAAACUUGCAAAACUCACAAAAAUAAAUAGCCUAAUUUGGCCAGUUAAUAGCCCUCUCCUGGGGCUCCUCUCAGCAACUAAGAGGCCUUUUAAAUACAACAUUUGUGACUGCGUCAUUAAAGCUCUGCAUGAUCCAAGCAGACUAAACCGAAAAGAAAGAAAUGCCUUAUUUGAUCUAAGAUUUUUUUUUUUAAAUAGUGACACUAGAGACCCAUUUAUUUUUAAUUACACAAUUGCUUUAUUAAAAGCCUAAAUCCUGCAGUCCCUAGUCAUUGCUCAGGCAAAGCUGCUAUCAUUGAAGGAAGGACCUGUAGGAGUCAAUCCUAAAAAUAGGGCAGCUGACAAAGUCUGCCUUUCAGAAGGGUUUGCUUUAGUUUUGAAGGGUUUCCCGAGUCAAAGAGAACUUGCCUCUGCUUUGCUUUUCAGCUCUGUGGAAAUUUGAAAGCUGAGCAUAGGAAAGCAGUCACUCCAGAAAGCAAAACCAACGGCAGUUUUCCUUUCAGAUUGAGUGCGCUGCCCUUUCCACCCUUAGACACUACCCUGCACAUAGCUACGUUUAGUAUUUACUUACACAGUGAGGUAUGCACGAGGGUUAGCUCUGGCUCUGUCCAAACAUAUCUCUGAGCCUGAGCCAGCUCUACCCAGGUGGGGCCUGUGCAGAGAGAUCUGGGGCUGUCCCUCACACCCGCCAUGGGAUGAAUUCCACUGUGCUUAAACGAGCCCUGUGGAGCCUUCAAGCUCUCGGACAGACUGCCAGCCCCCAAACGCUUCCCCUGUGCUGCCAAACACAGCGCCUCUUGCAAAUCCUCCCUGGGAUGGGGUCUGUUCUGCUUGUACGGUUACUGGCGCUGCUGAAGCAGGCGAGUCCACCAGGUCCCGCAGCACUCCUCCGGCUCACCCAGGGUAAACAAACGCAGCUGCUAGGAGACUGGGACAGGGUGAGACUGAUCCCUUCCUGCACUUGUACCCGGGCUGGGCUGCCUACAUGCAUUUCUGUCUUUGGACUCCACGCGAAGGGCAGAUCUCAGUGCUAAGUCAAGAUGGUGAUGCUAGCGAUAGGAAAGGGAGCAGACUAGCCAGCCAUACACACUGGAUUAUGUUCCUGGGCUAAACUCCAGACCCUCAAUUUUAUUAUCUAAUUACCCGACCGAACUCAUUCAUCUUUAUUUUUCAGUCUUACUCUGAGACCUGUGUUUAAACGUGGCUCUGCUAUGUGAAGCACUGCCCAGACAGUCUUUGCUUGGAAGAAUUCAUGGUUUCUCAGCUCAGAUUGUGUUUUUUUAGUGUAAAGGAUGCAUGGCAGAAAUCCCAGUCCCGGUCAGUGGCAGAGGUCUGCAUUAGGCUGUGCUGAGGGCCUGAGGUGGCUGUACCAGGAGGAAC